rnacentral:misc_RNA from 1 species
UGGCAGCAGGCGGGCCUGGGGA